CUGUUACAACAUCUAUUGAUGGUUUGAAUAGCGAAUAGUAAUAGUUUGACUAUUACUCCUAGGCUAUCUUUUUGGCAGAAGGACCCAGUAUUAAAGAGAAGACUGAAAUUAAACCAUUUGAAAAUACUGAAGUCUAUAACCUAAUGUGUGUAAUGGAAACAGAAGAAGCCAAUUUGCCAUUUGGAGGGCCCCGAGUGAUGCAGAACAAGCAGCACUAUCUUCUUUACCACAGGGAGUAUGUGAGCGGAUAUGGAAAAGCUUUCAGGAUGCCCAUGUGGAGCUCAUUCACAGUCCCCAA
rnacentral:lncRNA from 1 species